AGCUGUGAUGUAUGCUCCUGCAUGGUUUGGGAUCGGGCAGCAGCCGGUGGAAAUUUGUGAUGCUGUUUGGAGCAUCAUGAAUCAUUUCUGAUAGACAGGCUGUCAGCACAGGGUGGCUGUUGGUUGGACUCGUGAUUCCUAAGCGCUGGCCUUCCACGUCUUGCAUGUGUGACUAGGGAAGUCGUCCUUCAUGUGCGUGAAGAUGCAAGGUGAAGGAUUGCUGGGGGCUAGAUGUCUGUGGCUGGCUGCAGAGUGAAGUGGUGGAGGAGCAGGACCUGCAGAGCAAGGGGAGAGCAGGAGAUGCUGCCCGAAUGCCGCUGCCGCAGCACGGUCUGACCUUUCCUGCGAGUGCUCGUCUUGCUGUUCUCGCUGCUCCCAGGUGCUCCCUGCUCUCACUCCAGGGUGAGACGUGCUUCCAGACUCCUGCAGUAUGACGGCACGCUGCUGAGCUGAGUUUGGUGUUUCAGAUGGCAUCUUCUGGCUGUGGCCUGGAUCCUGCUGUAAGAUGCUGAUGGAUGGAGCUAGCGUGGGGCUCUCCAAUUGCA